rnacentral:misc_RNA from 1 species
GAAAUGCGAUAAGUAAUGUGAAUUGCAGAAUUCAGUGAAUCAUCGAAUCUUUGAACGCACAUUGCGCCCGCCAGUAUUCAGGCGGGCAUGCCUGUUCGAGCGUCAUUACAACCCUCAGGCCCCCGGGCCUGGCGUUGGGGAUCGGCGGAAGCCCCCUGCGGGCACAACGCCGUCCCCCAAAUACAGUGGCGGUCCCGCCGCAGCUUCCAUUGCGUAGUAGCUAACACCUCGCAACUGGAGAGCGGCGCGGCCACGCCGUAAAACACCCAACUUCUGAAUGUUGACCUCGAAUCAGGUAGGAAUACCCGCUGAACUUAAGC